UACGUAGGUGGCAAGCGUUAUCCGGAUUUACUGGGUGUAAAGGGCGUGUAGGCGGGAAAGCAAGUCAGAUGUGAAAACCACGGGCUCAACCUGUGGCCUGCAUUUGAAACUGUUUUUCUUGAGUACUGGAGAGGCAGACGGAAUUCCUAGUGUAGCGGUGAAAUGCGUAGAUAUUAGGAGGAACACCAGUGGCGAAGGCGGUCUGCUGGACAGCAACUGACGCUGAGGCGCGAAAGCGUGGGGAGCAAACAGG
rnacentral:rRNA from 1 species